rnacentral:lncRNA from 1 species
CAGAUCCUCAGGGUUGCAAACGUAUGGAAACCUUCUGGCUCACUUGAGACUGCCCUUACUAGGGAAGAAGCUCCUGAGAGUCAUCAGAAGUACAGCUGAAAAGCCAAUAUCAGCACCAAUGGGAUGCACCUCUAGGCUCUGCAGCUGACAAACUCUCAAGUGGAAUGGCCUUCUGAAUCUUCAAUACCGUGAUGCCAUGCCAGCCUACCUGUGCUCUGAAAUUUAUAUGACCCAGCCUCAGGAAACUCAAUUAUCUUGAUGGGAAGCCACAUCGACCCAGCUCCAUAUCAUUAUGAAAACUGAUUUUUGCAAGACAAAAAAAAAAUAUCCAAGAAUAAAGCACAUAUAGACAGAAAUCUGGAAUAAGUUCCUGAUUAAUUUAUAAUUAUUAAAAGUGAACAUCUCAGCUGAUAUGGAGAUAAUUGAGGUUUGUCUGUAAUGAUUCAGCUGGUCCAAUUUUGGAAUCUAUUUAUCAUACACCAUGUGUUAGAGAUCAACAGCCAAAUCCAGGUUGGGCUUUAGCAAUCCCAGUCUGGUUCCCUUCUUUAUUUCUCCACUAACAUGUGGUGAGGAGCAUGCUUCCACUUCUCUCUUUAUGUUUUUUAGUUUUGGCUCCUGAUCUAUAGUGGGCGACUGUGAAGACGAGAACACACAUGUACUACAAGGAACUUCUGCAUGCACACGAAGUCCUCCGACUUCUAGAAUAUGAAAAUCCCCCACCUCCGUCAGCUUGCAAUAAGCUAGAAAUGAAGAGAACUGUAGCCUCCCAAGCACAACUGUAAAAUUCUAAUUAAAAAAUUGAUUGAUGAAGAAACAAAGAUAGUGUCAUUUAACACUGGCCAGCUGUUUGCCAAACCCAUUUACUUUUCCUCCUGGGCAUGUGGUUAAAGGACGUUUUCCAGUCUGCAAUAAACUGAUGUCUUGACAGUCUUUUAACCAGUGGAAUCUGAGUGGAAAUGACGUAUACUACCUCAAUGCCUGGCAAUAAACAUUUUUGGUGCCUCAAUCUCCAUGAUUUUUCCCUUGCAUAGCUUGAUGCAGAUGUACAUAGUCACUUGGAAGCCACAUGUUGAUGACAGAGCCAUAAGACCAAAGGAUCCUGGGUCCUUGAAUCACUACUUGCAGAAGAACUGGCGAGUGCUUAAGAACACCUCUUUUAGACUUUAUAUGGGUUUCAGGUCCCCAGACUUUUACGGAAUAGGCCAAGUGACUUUUGAAGGGCCACCUGUCUGCUAAACUUUCUUGGUUCUGCUACUCCCGACUCCUUAGAAACUUAGCACUAAAGACACCAGCGCUCUCAAGGCCUUCUUCUCCUGUUGCCCCUUGCUUCAGUCUCUUCAGAUCAUGUGUUCUAGGAGCAAGAACUUCAGGAAGUCAUCAAAAUCACUGAACGACUGGAGAUGGCCAAAGUCAUUGCUUUGUUUGGAACAUUGGCUCUGAUUAAAAGUUUUUGGUUAAGACUCAGCUACUUAUUGUUGGAAACUUGUAUGGCCUGGCCUGGAUGCACUGACCGUAUUGAAUGUGCACUUUUGAUGGAUCCAUCUGUCUCACCAGCUGCACCGUGGAGAGCCUGCCCUACCAGCUACAGAAUACCAAGUAGUGUGCUGCGACUUUUCUAUGCCUCGUGUUACGUUAUUCAAUCUUACAACAACCCUAGGAGAUAAGUCCUACUCCUAGCCCCAUUUUACAUGUGAGGAAACUGAAGGCUCAGAGGGAACAAGUUUACCUGGAGCGUCCAAGGGUCAGAAGUGAGGUUCCAACCCAGAUGUGACUCACUCUACUACACAGCACGCCAGUAGGGCUAAAGGACACCAAAAGCUGCUACCUGAGCACGGGGUUGGGGAAAGGGGAGUGGAUAGGGUUUAGCAUAAUCAAGUAGCCAGGACGAGGG